rnacentral:lncRNA from 1 species
CCCUUCCCUAUGGCUCAACCUGACACCAGGAUUUAUUGCUUUCAUUUUAAUAGGUUAAUUACUUUGACAGGUACAGGUGGGGCUGAUCUCCCCUGAUGGACGGGCAGCUCCUGGAAGGCAGGGCUGUGCUGAUUGAUGCCUGGGGCCCACUCCUAGCACCAAGUCAGUGCCUCACUCCAUAGACCCGUCAGUGGGAUCUUCAGGAGGGGUAGAAGGUCUAGAUUUCAGGCUUCCCAGCCCGGCCUGCUCAGCACUCAAUUGUAUGACUACCCUAUUUCAUAAAUAUGGAAAUAUCCAUCUUACAGUUGUAGCUGUUGUGAGG